AUGAUAAAAAUAUUUGCAAAUUGUAACCACGUUUUCCACUCAGUUGGGUGUUUGUUCUCUGCAGCAAUUGUACUUCAUCUUUCACUUUCACUCUCCUCUCCUUCCUUCUCCCCAAAACUACAGUACCACAUAACACCACAGAGUGGCAGCACUAUGUCAAUAUAUCAAAUGUUAUCAAUGUCUGGUUUCAAAUUUGGGUGUGUGCGUGUACAUACGCCUCUCUCUCUCUCUCUCUCUCUCUCUCUCUCUCUCUCUCUCUCUCUCUCUCUCUCUCUCUCUCUCUCUNNNNNNNNNNCCCCUCUCUCCCCUCCCUCUCUCUCUCCCUCCAUCUCUCUCUCCCUCCCUCUCUCCUCCUUACUCAGUCACUUUUUUCAGUACUCCCUCACUUUCUGUUUCUCCCUCCCUCUCCAUCUCCCUCCUUCUCUCCCCUAUAUCUCUCUCCCUCCAUAUCUCUCUCUAUCGCUCCCUCUCUCUCCUCCUUACUCCAUCCCUCUCUCCCUUACUCCCUCCCGUCUCCCUCUCUCCUCCUUACUCCCUCCCUUUCUUCCGUACUCCCUCCCUGUUUCUUUCUCCUUCUCUCCCUCAUCUCCUUCUCUCCAAUCCCUCCCCCUCUCUCUCCCUCCCCUGUAUCUCUUUCCCUCCAUCUCUCCCCUCCCUCUCUCUCUCUCCAUCUCUCCGUCUCUCUCUCCCUAUCUAUCCCUCUACCUCCCUCUCUCUCUCCCUUUCACCCUAUCCCUCUCGCUCCAUCUCUCUCCCGCCCUCUCCCUCUCUCUCUCCAUCUCAUUCUAUCUAUCCCUCCCUAUCUCCCAUCCCUCCCUCUCCCUCUCUCUCAUCCCUCCCUCUCUCUCCAUAUCUCUCUCUAUCCCUCCCUCUCUCCCACUUCCUCCCUUCUUACUCUCUAGCCAUCUCUCUCUCUAUCCCAAUCUAUCUAUCCCUCUCCAUCUGUCUUCCUCCCUCCCCCUCNNNNNNNNNNUGUCAGACAUUGUUAUCCAGAGGAAAGACAAAAACCACUUUGAUGACUAA
rnacentral:lncRNA from 13 species